GAAUCCCUACGGGACGCAGCAGUGGGGAAUAUUGCACAAUGGGGGAAACCCUGAUGCAGCGACGCCGCGUGAGUGAAGAAGUAUUUCGGUAUGUAGAGCUCUCUCAGCAGGGAAGAAAAUGACGGUACCUGACUAAGAAGCCCCGGCUAACUACGUGCCAGCAGCCGCGGUAAUACGUGGGGGGCAAGCGUUAUCCGGAUUUACUGGGUGUAAAGGGAGCGUAGACGGCGCUGCACGUCCGGGGUGAAAGCCCAUGGCUUAACCAUGGUA
rnacentral:rRNA from 1 species